AACGCAUCUUGCGCUCCUUGGUAUUCCGAGGAGCAUGCCUGUUUGAGUGUCAUUCAAGCAUCUCAAAAGGUCCUUAUGCAGCAUGCAGGGAACUUUUGGACAUUGGGAGUUGCUGGUCACUGAUAAAGUGGCUGGCUCUUCUGAAAAGCAUUAGUUGAGGAGCUUUUUGUGCUCUAUUGGUGUGAUAGACUAUCUAUGCCAGGAGAAGCAUUGUGAAGCCUCUGCUGUCUAACAGUCGUAAUUGGACAAUAUGAUAAACUUGACCUCAAAUCAGGUAGGACUACCCGCUGAACUUAA
rnacentral:misc_RNA from 1 species